UGGGGAAUAUUGGGCAAUGGGCGCAAGCCUGAUCCAGCAAUGCCGCGUGUGUGAAGAAGGCCUUCGGGUUGUAAAGCACUUUUAUCAGGAGCGAAACGCUGUCGGCUAAUACCCGGCGGAACUGACGGUACCUGAGGAAUAAGCACCGGCUAACUUCGUGCCAGCAGCCGCGGUAAUACGAAGGGUGCAAGCGUUAAUCGGAAUUACUGGGCGUAAAGCGUGCGUAGGCGGUUUCUUAAGUCUGCUGUGAAAUCCCCGGGCUCAACCUGGGAAUGGCAGUGGAUACUGGGAGGCUAGAGUGUGUCAGAGGGUGGUGGAAUUCCCGGUGUAGCGGUGAAAUGCGUAGAGAUCGGGAGGAACAUCAGUGGCGAAGGCGGCCACCUGGGACAACACUGACGCUGAGGCACGAAAGCGUGGGGAGCAAACAGGAUUAGAUACCCUGGUAGUCCACGCCCUAAACGAUGCGAACUGGAUGUUGGUCUCAACUCGGAGAUCAGUGUCGAAGCUAACGCGUUAAGUUCGCCGCCUGGGGAGUACGGUCGCAAGACUGAAACUUAAAUGAAUUGACGGGGUCAUAGCUGUUUCCUG
rnacentral:rRNA from 1 species